rnacentral:rRNA from 1 species
UACGUAGGGUGCAAGCGUUAAUCGGAAUUACUGGGCGUAAAGCGUGCGCAGGCGGUUAUGCAAGACAGAUGUGAAAUCCCCGGGCUUAACCUGGGAAUGGCAUUUGGGACUGCAAGGCUUGAGUGCGGCAGAGGAGACUGGAAUUCCUGGUGUAGCAGUGAAAUGCGUAGAUAUCAGGAGGAACACCGAUGGCGAAGGCAGGUCUCUGGGCUGACACUGACGCUCAUGCACGAAAGCGUGGGGAGCAAACAGG